rnacentral:rRNA from 1 species
CAGUAGCCGCGGUAACACGUAGGGUGCGAGCGUUAAUCGGAAUUACUGGGCGUAAAGCGUGCGCAGGCGGUUCGUUAAGACAGAUGUGAAAUCCCCGGGCUUAACCUGGGAACUGCAUUUGUGACUGGCGAGCUAGAGUAUGGCAGAGGGGGGUAGAAUUCCAUGUGUAGCAGUGAAAUGCGUAGAGAUGUGGAGGAAUACCGAUGGCGAAGGCAGCCCCCUGGGCCAAUACUGACGCUCAUGCACGAAAGCGUGGGGAGCAAACAGGAUUAGAUACCCCAGUAGUCCCUGUCUCUUAUAA